AGAGAGAGACAUGCGCGCAUAUCAAUAAGCGGAGGAAAAGAAACUAACUAGGAUUCCCUUAGUAACGGCGAGUGAAGCGGGAAGAGCUCAAAUUUGAAAUCUUCAAGGUUUUACCUUGACGAAUUGUAGUUUAAAGAAGUGUUUUCUGCUGGAAGUUUUGGUAAAAGUUCUUUGGAAUAGGACAUCAUAGAGGGUGAGAAUCCCGUAUUUGACCAUUAUUUUCAGCUUUGUGAUACACUUUCAAAGAGUCGGAUUGUUUGGGAAUGCAGUCCAAAAUGGGUGGUAAAUUUCAUCUAAAGCUAAAUAUUGGCGAGAGACCGAUAGCGAACAAGUACCGUGAGGGAAAGAUGAAAAGAACUUUGAAAAGAGAGUUAAACAGUACGUGAAAUUGUCAAAAGGGAAGCGUUUGACACCAGUGUUGUUUUCUCGAAAAUCAAUUAAAAAUGGCUCGAUUUUGUAUUGUUGAGACCUUAAAAGCUCACUGUACAUUUUUCGUGUCUUUUUUAAUGCACUUUUCGUUUAACAAGUCAACAUCAGUUUCUUUUGUUGUAAAAGGGUCAUUGGAAGGUGGCUUUCUUUUCGGAGAAAGUGUUUAUAGCCUUUGGCCUCUGCAAUCGGAGAGACUGAGGUCUGCAGCGUAGACUCUUCGGGGUUAGAUACAUUUGUGCUAAGUUAUAGCUUUUUAUAGACAACUUGUUGACUAUAAUUAGUCUUGUAGCUUACUCGCUUAUGCUAUUUUACCUACGCUUAGGAUGUUGAGUCGUAGAGCACGCAG
rnacentral:rRNA from 1 species